rnacentral:rRNA from 1 species
GAUCCUGGCUCAGAAUCAACGCUGGCGGCGUGCCUAACACAUGCAAGUCGAACGCGACUUGGGCUUCGGCUCAAGUUGAGUGGCGAACGGGUGAGUAACACGUGGGUGACCUACCUUCGAGUGGGGGAUAACGUCCCGAAAGGGACGCUAAUACCGCAUAACAUCCUGCCCUUGAACAGGUGGAGAUCAAAGCCGGGGAUCGCAAGACCUGGCGCUUGAAGAGGGGCCCGCGCCUGAUUAGCUAGUUGGUAGGGUAACGGCCUACCAAGGCGACGAUCAGUAUCCGGCCUGAGAGGGCGGACGGACACACUGGGACUGAGACACGGCCCAGACUCCUACGGGAGGCAGCAGUGGGGAAUUGUUCGCAAUGGGCGCAAGCCUGACGACGCAACGCCGCGUGGAGGACGAAGAUCUUCGGGUCGUAAACUCCUGUCGAGCGGGAAGAAUGCUUCGCGGACGAAUACUCUGCGAAAUUGACGGUACCGCUAAAGGAAGCCCCGGCUAACUCCGUGCCAGCAGCCGCGGUAAUACGGGGGGGGCAAGCGUUGUUCGGAAUUACUGGGCGUAAAGGGCUCGUAGGCGGCCAACUAAGUCAGACGUGAAAUCCCCAGGCUUAACCUGGGAACUGCGUCUGAUACUGGAUGGCUUGAAUUCGGGAGAGGGAUGCAGAAUUCCAGGUGUAGCGGUGAA